UACAGAGGGGGCAAGCGUUGUUCGGAAUUACUGGGCGUAAAGGGCUCGUAGGUGGCCAACUAAGUCAGACGUGAAAUCCCUCGGCUUAACCGGGGAACUGCGUCUGAUACUGGAUGGCUUGAGUUCGGGAGAGGGAUGCGGAAUUCCAGGUGUAGCGGUGAAAUGCGUAGAUAUCUGGAGGAACACCGGUGGCGAAGGCGGCGUCCUGGACCAACACUGACACUGAGGAGCGAAAGCCAGGGGAGCAAACGGG
rnacentral:rRNA from 1 species